UUUUAAAGUUUAUUAGACCACAUUCAUUCUGUGUCAGAAACCUAUGCUGUGUCAACUAUUUAAUCACAAUCCAAAUUUAGAGCUGAAUCCAGCUUGAAUGUUGUGUCCAUACUUGCCCCAACCGUUAAGGGUUCAACCUCUGCGGUCGUAUAAAGCUGCGCCCUGCGGAGCAUCUGGUUAAUGUUGUUGGAACAAGAUUAACACAACUUGUAUUCAGCAGCUGUUGUAUAAGG
rnacentral:lncRNA from 1 species